rnacentral:rRNA from 1 species
GCAUAUCAAUAAGCGGAGGAAAAGAAACCAACAGGGAUUGCCCCAGUAACGGCGAGUGAAGCGGCAAAAGCUCAAAUUUGAAAUCCUGCGGGAAUUGUAAUUUGAAGGUUUCGUGGUCUGAGUCGGCCGCGCCCAAGUCCAUUGGAACAUGGCGCCUGGGAGGGUGAGAGCCCCGUCCGGCGCACGCCGACUCUUUGCACCGCGGCUCCGACGAGUCGAGUUGUUUGGGAAUGCAGCUCUAAGUGGGUGGUAAAUUCCAUCUAAAGCUAAAUAUUGGCGAGAGACCGAUAGCGAACAAGUACAGUGAUGGAAAGAUGAAAAGCACUUUGAAAAGAGAGUGAAACAGCACGUGAAAUUGUUGAAAGGGAAGGGCUUGCAAGCAGACACGGUUUUACCGGGCCAGCGUCGAAAAGGGGGGAGGAACAAGAACUCGAGAAUGUGGCGCGCACCUUCGGGUGCGCGUGUUAUAGCUCGUGUUGACGCCUCCAUCCUUUUUCGAGGCCUGCGAUUCUAGGACGCUGGCGUAAUGGUUGCAAGCCGCCCGUCUUGAAACACGGACCAAGGAGUCUAACGUCUAUGCGAGUGUUUGGGUGCAAAACCCCAGCGCGGAAUGAAAGUAAGAGGUUGGAGCCGCAAGGCGCACAAUCGACCGACCCUGAAGUGCUCGGACGGGUUUGAGUAGGAGCAUAGCUGUUGGGACCCGAAAGAUGGUGAACUAUGCCUGGAUAGGGUGAAGCCAGAGGAAACUCUGGUGGAGGCUCGCAGCGGUUCUGACGUGCAAAUCGAUCGUCGAAUCUGGGUAUAGGGGCGAAAGACUAAUCGAACCAUCUAGUAGCUGGUUCCUGCCGAAGUUCCC